rnacentral:piRNA from 1 species
GAGACUCGACAGGUGUAAGGCUACGUGCGC